UACAGAGGGUGCAAGCGUUGUUCGGAAUUACUGGGCGUAAAGCGCGUGUAGGUGGCGAUGUAAGUCGGGUGUGAAAUCCCUCAGCUUAACUGAGGAAGUGCACUCGAUACUGUGUCGCUUGAGUGUUGGAGGGGAUGGCGGAAUUCCCGGUGUAGAGGUGAAAUUCGUAGAUAUCGGGAGGAACACCUGUGGCGAAGGCGGCCAUCCGGACAACUACUGACACUGAGACGCGAAAGCGUGGGUAGCAAACAGG
rnacentral:rRNA from 1 species